AGUGAACGCUGGCGGUAGGCCUAACACAUGCAAGUCGAACGGCAGCACAGUAAGAGCUUGCUCUUACGGGUGGCGAGUGGCGGACGGGUGAGGAAUACAUCGGAAUCUACUUUUUCGUGGGGGAUAACGUAGGGAAACAUACGCUAAUACCGCAUACGACCUACGGGUGAAAGCAGGAGAUCUUCGGACCUUGCGCGAUUGAAUGAGCCGAUGUCGGAUUAGCUAGUUGGCGGGGUAAAGGCCCACCAAGGCGACGAUCCGUAGCUGGUCUGAGAGGAUGAUCAGCCACACUGGAACUGAGACACGGUCCAGACUCCUACGGGAGGCAGCAGUGGGGAAUAUUGGACAAUGGGCGCAAGCCUGAUCCAGCCAUACCGCGUGGGUGAAGAAGGCCUUCGGGUUGUAAAGCCCUUUUGUUGGGAAAGAAAAGCAGCAGGUUAAUACCCCGCUGUUCUGACGGUACCCAAAGAAUAAGCACCGGCUAACUUCGUG
rnacentral:rRNA from 1 species